rnacentral:rRNA from 1 species
GGACCUGACUGCUAUCGGAUUGAUACUAAGCCAUGCGAGUCAUUGUAGCAAUACAAGGCAGACGGCUCAGUAACGCGUAGUCAACCUACCCUAUGGACGGGAAUAACCUCGGGAAACUGAGUAUAAUGCCCGAUAGAACAUUAUACCUGGAAUGGUUUAUGUUCCAAAUGAUUUAUCGCCGUAGGAUGGGACUGCGGCCUAUCAGUUUGUUGGUGAGGUAAUGGCCCACCAAGACUAUUACAGGUACGGGCUCUGAGAGGAGUGGCCCGGAGAUGGGUACUGAGACACGGGCCCAGGCCCUAUGGGGCGCAGCAGGCGAGAAAACUUUGCAAUGUGCGAAAGCACGACAAGGUUAAUCCGAGUGGUUUCUGCUAAAGGAACCUUUUGUCAGUCCUAGAAACACUGAUGAAUAAGGGGUGGGCAAGUUCUGGUGU